rnacentral:tRNA from 1 species
GGAAGAGAAACAUCCCCGGUGGGGUGCACGGACUUCAAAUCCGAUGGGAGGCGCUGCGCGUCUCCGGUGGGUUCGACUCCCUCCUCUUCCGCC